rnacentral:rRNA from 1 species
UACAGGGGGUGCAAACGUUGCUCGGAAUCAUUGGGCGUAAAGCGCACGUAGGCGGUUCGUUAUGUCGGAUGUGAAAGCCCUUGGCUUAACCGAGGAAGUGCAUCCGAAACUGGCGAGCUAGAGUACGAAAGAGGAUCGCGGAAUUCCCGGUGUAGAGGUGAAAUUCGUAGAUAUUGGGAAGAACACCGGUGGCGAAGGCGGCUCUCUGGACCGUAACUGACGCUGAGGCGCGAAAGCGUGGGGAGCAAACAGG